CCUACGGGUGGCAGCAGUGAGGAAUAUUGGUCAAUGGCCGAGAGGCUGAACCAGCCAAGUCGCGUGAGGGAAGACGGCCCUACGGGUUGUAACCCUCUUUUUUCGGGUAGCAGAGAGAGUCGCUUGUGACUCAUUGAGAGUACCCGAAGCAACAGCAUCGGCAAACUCGGUGCCAGCAGCCGCGGUAAUACGGAGGAUGCGCGCGUUAUCGGGAUUUAUUGGGUGAAAGGGGUGCGCAGGGGGAGGUGCAAGUCAGCGGUCAAAUUGCGGGGCCAAACCCCGUACUGCCGUUGAAACUGCAUCCCUUGAGUGCGCGAGAAGUAGGCGGAAUGCGUGGUGUAGCGGUGAAAUGCAUAGAUAUCACGAAGAACUCC
rnacentral:rRNA from 1 species